rnacentral:rRNA from 1 species
UACGUAGGGUGCGAGCGUUAAUCGGAAUUACUGGGCGUAAAGCGUGCGCAGGCGGUUUUGUAAGGCAGAUGUGAAAUCCCCGGGCUUAACCUGGGAAUGGCAUUUGGGACUGCAAGGCUUGAGUGCGGCAGAGGAGACUGGAAUUCCCGGUGUAGCAGUGAAAUGCGUAGAUAUCGGGAGGAAUACCGAUGGCGAAGGCAGGUCUCUGGGCUGACACUGACGCUCAUGCACGAAAGCGUGGGGAGCAAACAGG